rnacentral:rRNA from 1 species
CUAACAAGGAUUCCCCUAGUAACGGCGAGUGAAGCGGGAAGAGCUCAAAUUUGUAAUCUGGCGGUCUACGGCCGUCCGAGUUGUAAUCUGGAGAAGCGUUUUCGGCGCCGGUCCGCGUACAAGUCCCCUGGAACGGGGCGUCGCAGAGGGUGAGAAUCCCGUCUUUGACGCGGUCAGCCGGUGCCGUGCGAUGCGCUCUCGAAGAGUCGAGUUGUUUGGGAAUGCAGCUCAAAACGGGUGGUAAAUUCCAUCUAAAGCUAAAUACUGGCGAAAGACCGAUAGCGAACAAGUACCGUGAGGGAAAGAUGAAAAGCACUUUGGAAAGAGAGUCAAACAGUACGUGAAAUUGUUGAAAGGGAAACGCUUGAAGUCAGUCGCGUCUCUCGGGACUCAGCCGAGACUUUACCCCUCUCGGUGCAUUUCCCGAGUCUGGACGGGCCAGCAUCGGUUUCGACCGUCGUAAAAAGGCGUGAGGAAUGUGGCACCCUCGGGUGUGUUAUAGCCUCUCGUCGUAUGCGACGGACGGGACCGAGGAACGCAGCGCGCCCCUCGCGGGGCCGGGGUUCGCCCACGUAACGCGCUUAGGAUGCUGGCGUAAUGGCUUUAA